UACAGAGGGUGGCAAGCGUUGUUCGGAAUUAUUGGGCGUAAAGCGCGCGUAGGCGGCUUGUAAGUUAGAGGUGAAAGCCCGGAGCUCAACUCCGGAAUUGCCUUUAAGACUGCAUCGCUAGAAUCAUGGAGAGGUGAGUGGAAUUCCGAGUGUAGAGGUGAAAUUCGUAGAUAUGCGGAGGAACACCGAUGGCGAAGGCAAUCCCCUGGACCUGUACUGACGCUCAUGCACGAAAGCGUGGGGAGCAAACAGG
rnacentral:rRNA from 1 species